rnacentral:lncRNA from 1 species
UUCCAGAUUAAUUAAAUAUAUUGUUUGUCACUGAAUUAUCUUAUUUUUCUUGACUUUGCAAUCCUUGUGGCCGACCUUGAUUAAAAUAUUAAGGUUAAGACUUAGCUCAAAUGGUAGGAGCGAAGUCUUUUCAUGUGACAUAAGGUCGGCAUGAUAUUUUACUUAAAGUAUACAAAAAUGUAGAAAAUGAAAACUAGAGACAAACACACUUUAUUUACGUUAUUUUGUCCUCCAACCAUACAUUAUCAUAGUCAGACAAUGAGCUACACAAUAUAUGUUCUAUCAUCAUAACUCUAUCUAGCAUUUCCUGCACUGUGCACAUCCGGUGUUAUAGUUACUUCAACAAGCAAAAGGAUCUUUAGAUCAAGAUCCUUUUAUUUGACGAAGCAAGAAGCACACUCAAUGCUGUGUCAAAUCGUAUAUUUCUAGAAGUGCUAGAUAGAGUUAUGGUGAAUAGAACUACUAUUGUUGUAGCUCGUUGUCUGACUAUGAUAGUGAGGCAGCCUCCGUUGAUGUUGUGGAGAAUGGAGUAAUUGCUGAAGAGGGAAGUCACGACGUGCUUAUGAAAAUGAAAGACGGGGUCUAUGCAUAGUUGGUUGCUCGACACUAGUUCAGGAUUGAUGCUGUUAGGACUAAUUUCUCGGGCAACAUAAUGACGAAUCUAGCAUAGCAAGCAAAGAGGAGAGUUGAAAUCCCAAGGACCAAUUUUCAAUAUGCCUUUCUAGAUAUUCCUCAAUGUCCCGACUAUUCAGGUUGUCAAUUCCAUGAUGAAAGAUGAUAGGCCUCAAUCUUGAAUCAAUUUUAGCCCUCAUUUGUCUCUCAUUAUUUCAGAACUCUUUUUUCUACAUGCUCAUUUUCAAUCACACGUUCACACAAUAAAAUAUUCUAUACGUAAGCUCAAAAUUUUUCCCUACUUUUUAACUAUACAUUCUCCAACAAUUCAUUAUUCAAAACAAUGUUGUUCCAAAAAAAAAGUUCAGCAACAGGGGUUUAAAUAACUUUACUU